GGAUUAGCGGCGAACGGGUGAGUAACGCGUGAGGAACCUGCCUCUCACAACGGGAUAGCCUCGGGAAACCGGGAUUAAUACCGUAUGACACUAUCAGAUGGCAUCAUCAGAUAGUUAAAGUGCUAGCGGUGAGAGAUGGCCUCGCGUCUGAUUAGUUAGUUGGUGGGGUAACGGCCUACCAAGACGACGAUCAGUAACCGGCCUGAGAGGGUGAACGGUCACAUUGGAACUGAGACACGGUCCAAGCUCCUACGGGAGGCAGCAGUGGGGAAUCUUGCACAAUGGGGGGAACCCUGAUGCAGCGACGCCGCGUGAGCGAUGAAGGUUUUCGAAUCGUAAAGCUCUGUCCUAUGGGAAGAUAAUGACGGUACCAUAGGAGGAAGCCCCGGCUAACUACGUGCCAGCAGCCGCGGUAAUACGUAGGGGGCGAGCGUUGUCCGGAAUUACUGGGCGUAAAGGGUUCGCAGGCGGCAUGACAAGUCCGAUGUAAAAGGCGAAAGCUCAACUUUCGUAAGCACCGGAAACUGUCAAGCUUGAGUGAAGGAGAGGCAAGUGGAAUUCCUAGUGUAGCGGUGGAAUGCGUAGAUAUUAGGAGGA
rnacentral:rRNA from 1 species